ensembl:lncRNA LINC01986 long intergenic non-protein coding RNA 1986
GAGAGACACAACGACGUCUACUUUGUUCCUUGGUCAGUCGAUGGCCUGCGGGUGUCUGCUGGUGUCUGGCCGUGUGCUCUUUCUCGACGUACAGCUGUUUGUGUGUGUGCCCGCGACAGUCUCGGGUUUUGAUGGGCACAGGAUGGGGGGCCAAAAGGCAAAACUGUUUUGGUGGGCAAAAACAGAAAUGCCUGUCCUCAUUUAGGUCCAUGGGCACAGGCCCGAGGUUGUAGCCCUUGCCAGGGAUCCUGCCCUUCUCUACUCAGCACUUCGCUGCCCCUCUCCUGAAUCACAUCAAUUAAGAACUUUCUUCACCACCCCUUCGCUGUCAUCCUUUUCUCUCCACUAUUCACCCAACAUCAUCCGGGACCAGAACUAAUGUCAGCAAAGCAGGGGAAGGAAGUAAACUUCUAGGAGUAGAAGAAAGGAUGAAAAAGCCAACCACAACCCCCUUUCUUCAUUAAAGGCUUCCCUCUACCGUACUCGAAAACAACUUUGCCAUUUUGAUAAUCAAAUGAAAAAGUAUAGUUUCUAACUCUGUACUAUUUGUACACUAUUUGUACUUUCUAAAUCUAUACUAUUCGUAUUAUUUAAAAGUGACCAUAAAUAUUAUAAACUAAGUUAACCAAGGUUUUGCCUGGAGGCAAGGGAAGACCAAAUCCCAUGAUACAACUUAAAUAGUUGAAUUCCACUUAUGUGAAAACACACACAUAUGUUUAAAAGGCAUAUAUGUAUAAAAAUGGAUAUCAAAUGGUAUGAAAUAAUUUGCACUAAAUUGAUAAUUGAGGAAAAAAUGUGAAGAGAAACUUCCAGACCAAAAGCUUCAUGGGCAAAAGAACCAUAUCUUCACAUCCUUAAUGAGGAUAAGGAUUGCAGAGGCAGUACUUUGUAGGGUUACACAUUUCCUGAGAGUAUCUACAUAUUCAUAGGCAACACCGAUGUGAAUGUGACAGAUUAGCUCCAGAAAGAAAGCAGUGUGAAAAAGAUGAAACACAGAUUUGAAAGCAAUCUUGAAGAUCAGACAGAAAACCAGCCUAUGAAUCAAAGAAGAAAAUCAAAAUCAGACUUCAUAACUGCUUCAGUAACCCUUGGCAACAGACAACACACUGGAUUUUGGCGAAUAACACUAAAAUUUUUGCUGGUGAGGUCUUCAGAAACUGGAUAGAUGUGAAACCACCAGAACAGAAGUGGAGCGGGCAUGGUAUCUGUUUCUUCAAUUUGUAGUUUUAUAGUCAAAAACUGGCAUGUAUAUACUUAAUUGGUAACAUGUAAGUCACGUGCCUCUAUCCCAACUCUAAGAGAGGUUGAGAACUUAAUUUCUGGCUUCUACCUUGGGAAGGAUCAGGCUUAUAAGCUGGAAAAUUAGCCAACAUACACAGGAUAUUCAAAGCUUCUAGGCAGUCAAAAUACUGUCAAGUGGUAAAACAGACAUGAAAAAACCUUUUUUUCUCUCCUAAAUUUAAAAAAAUAUAAUUUUUGUAAAACACUGUAUGUGGCUUUCCAUAAAAUUAAAAGAGUCUUGGGAGAGAGAACA